ensembl:lncRNA
GGGGGAGGGGGGGGGGGGGGCGCUUGCCUGAAGUGAAUCCGGUUGUUGUGAUCGAGAGCACAUUGCUCUUUGAAGGGGAAAGGAGAGGGGUUGAGGCAGAGAGGGGGAGGGGGGAGGGGGAUUUUAGGUUUUUUCGGAGAGGGGAGGGGAGUGCAUGCUUGGAGGAGGUGGCCUGAAGGGUCCAAUGCGAGAGGAGGAUCGCAGAAGAGGAGACGCUCCCUACUGCACAGCAGAGCAGGAGCAGGGAUGUUAGUGUUGGGACCAGGAGGUGGAUUUGUCUCUAGGGAGGGGGAUGUGUCUCUAGGGAGGGGGAUGUGUCUCUAGGCAGAGAGGAGGGGGAUGUGUCUCUAGGGAGGGGCAGAAAGGAGGGGGAUGUGUCUCUAGGGAGGGACAGAGAGGAGGGGGAUGUGUCUCUAGGGAGGGGGAUGUGUCUCUAGGGACAGACAGAGGUUGUAGCGGUGAUGCAGAGUGUUAGUUUAGUUUAUGAGCAGGUAAUCUCCACAUGUGUCAGAGAGUGAAAAGAGGUAAACAGAAGGAAGGAAGGAAGGAAGGAAGGAGGGGAUUAUUGAAUGUAAUGAAUACUGCUCCUAGUUUCACCAUUGCCCUACAUUUCUCAAGAAUUCUAAUAUGUGGGCACAGUGUUUGUUUUAUGAUGGUGAAGAUCAUUUGAUUUGAAAUUAAAGUCGGACUGAAGUAGAGUGAGUUAUGAAGUGAAAUUCGUUUUUUUUUUUUCGUUUUUUCUUAAAGCAUCGUUGAUUCGUGAAUGUUGUUGCUCUUAUUUUCAGACACUUGGGCUUUAGGCCCAGACGGCUCUUACUGACUGGAUUAAAAGAUUGUGAGCCGUGGUGUGGCGUGGUGUGAGUCUGCUCGUAAUGCUGGCUCUGUGAGAUUGCUCUCUCUCUGGAUGUAAACAGAUUUCUUAAACUGCCCCAAACAGAUAGUUAGAGGGUUGGGUCUUCAGCCACGGCCAAUAUGGAGCCAUUCCUGUGGCGUGUGGUCUCUGACAGGGGCAAGAGAGGAGACAUGCAACUAAUGUGUGUGUGUGUGUGUGUGUGUGUGACACACACAGACAUUAGUAAACCCACACACACACACACAGACACACAAAUAGUUUGCUGUGUUGACUUGGUGGUGUCACUGCAACUAAGCAACCGCAGGUAGCACCAUCCAGCACAGAGACGUCCUGGCACCAGCGCUGUUUACCCACCUUUCUCCCUCUCUCCUUUCUGGAGGAUCACUCUAUCCCUCCCUCUCUCCUUUCUGUGGGAUCCCUCUAUCCCCCUCUCUC